rnacentral:rRNA from 1 species
ACUGAUUUUGCGAUCUUUUUUCUUAAUUACUGGGCGUAAAGCGCACGUAGGCGGCGUGUCAAGUCGGGGGUGAAAGGCCUGGGCUUAACCUGGGAACUGCCCUUGAUACUGGCAUGCUGGAGUCCGGGAGGGGGUGGCGGAAUUCCCAGUGUAGAGGUGAAAUUCGUAGAUAUUGGGAAGAACACCGGUGGCGAAGGCGGCCAACUGGCCCGGUACUGACGCUGAGGUGCGAAAGCGUGGGGAGCAAACAG